rnacentral:sRNA from 1 species
GCUGGGUACGGUGGCGCAUGCCUGUAAUCCCAGUGGCUUGGGAGGCUGAGAUAGGUGGAUGACAAGUUCAAAGCCAGCUUGAGCAAAAGUAAGGUACUAAGCAAUUCAGUGAGACCCUGUCUGUA